rnacentral:rRNA from 1 species
GUAGUUANCCGGGGCUUCCUCUGAGGGUACCGUCAAUAUNUUCCCCUCUGACAGUGGUUUACAUUCCGAAAAACUUCAUCCCACACACGGCGUCGCUCCGUCAGGCUUUCGCCCAUUGCGGAAAAAUUCCUCG